UACCAGCACCCCCGAGUUGUCGGACGAUUAUUGGGCCUAAAGCAUCCGUAGCCUGUUCUGCAAGUCCUCCGUUAAAUCCACCUGCUCAACGGAUGGGCUGCGGAGGAUACCGCAGAGCUAGGAGGCGGGAGAGGCAAACGGUACUCAGUGGGUAGGGGUAAAAUCCGCUGAUCCAUUGAAGACCACCAGUGGCGAAGGCGGCUUGCCAGAACGCGCUCGACGGUGAGGGAUGAAAGCUGGGGGAGCAAACCGGAUUAGAAA
rnacentral:rRNA from 1 species